CAUGGUACUUUUGAAGGGGUUAUAGAUGAUUUCACUUGGAUUCUUCCAGAUUUGAAGACUUUGUCAUUGACUUUGGGUUCCACCACAAAGUUCUUCCAGUUUCGUAGAGAGGAGGAUGGUGAGCUCUCAGCAGAAGAAGUACACAAACCAAAACCUGAUAAGAGCGUAUCCAUUCUAAGAAAUAACAAGUUAUUGCAUAUUAUCGGCAAUGAGAUUGGAGGAUAAUUUUGUUUUGUUUCUUUUUGUGCAACUAACUACUUCUUUUUGGAUGAUCCUCUUUUGAAAAAA
rnacentral:misc_RNA from 1 species